UUGUUUUGCUUAGCCAUGGACAGUGAGGUCCCCCUUCUCUGAUUUCUUCAUUCCCAGUUCAUUUAUUUAUUUGAUAUCAAUAUCUUUACUAUAGGAUUUAUGUCCUUGCCAACUCUACAAUUGUUAAUUGCACACUCAGAGUCUGGAUAUUGAAUUAGCUACUUUUGCGAUCCCUGGACUACACGAGUCAAUAGAGCUGAUGUUCAUCAGUAUUUCUGGAUUGCCCAUCUUUCAGCUGAGUUAAGGCUUUUUCUAUUGUCUGCAAAUGAAAAUUAUUUGAUGUACCCCUGGUAUGAUAAAAGAAGAGAUUGCCCUUUUCCUUUGUAAAAUUUUCCACACAUGAUGUUGUCGAGGAUGAUUUCAGAAUUUAUAUGCUCAUUGGUUCCAUUACUCCUUUCCCCAUUAACUCAUAUUAGACAGUGGUGUAUAAAGGUUGCACCUGACUCUGUUUUCCAAGGAAAUACAAAUGAAGUUAUAUUACUUGCAACCUGCGACCCCUCUUCGCUAAACAAGAAAAGUAAAAAUGAUAACCUAUCAUGCAGUAAAAUUACGUGGCUGAUCUCUGUUUUGUGCAUGUUCGGUUGGGAUUAUGAGUUGUUCUACUUCCCUUAAGAGAGUUUAUUUUCCUCUCAUGAGAUGCAUACUUAUAUUUCUGGAAUAAAUGAAUCUUUUGGGUUGUAACCUGUUCUUAGUAACGAUGCCUUACCAUCUGCCUUCUCCUCUCCUUUAUGUUGUUUUUUCUAAAUUAUUUCUAUGGACUACUACCAUAACUUGUUGGUUUAGUUUAGGUGUCUAGGAAGAAUUUGCAGUCUUGCAGAUGAAUCAUGAUAUCAGGUUUAGGCAUGCACAUGGCCACUAAUCACAAAAAAUGAUAUCUGAUAAAGCCAUCAUCAUGUCAUGUAAUUACUUGCAGAACAACUAUAUUGUUUUUUGGGGCGGUAAAGCAGAAAUGAUAGGACUCUGCAAGUCAUGUGAGUGUUGUUUGAUUAUUUACUUUCUCAAGUGCGUGGAUGUCGUUAGCAUGUUUAGUAUACGCACGGAGAUAUGCAAAGUGUAAAAAUGGUUUCCUGGGAACGUCAGGUUUUUUUUCUCCUCGGAACGAACGAAACGUUCGCCAGGGAGCGAUCACCCCACCGAACGUUUUUGGUCGAUCUGGGGGAGGAGCUGGACCGAACGAUUCGCCCCAGGCCCCCACGCGAACAGUUGCCCCUGCAGGCAAAAACAAAACUUUGACUAGGCCUUUACAGCCUCCAAUUAGGCUAAAAAAUGGCCCUGUUUUUUGUGACGCCUCAACACUUGGAUCAUCGCUCGAGGUUAUCGCUUUUGAGUUUCAGGUGAUAGGUUAUUUUUAAUUGAUUUUUUGGAAAUCAUGAUGCUAAAUAUAUGGAUUGUGUCAGUUAGCUAAUCUAUUGGCUCUUUGAUGUGUAUGGUGACAUGAUGGCAAUGAAAAUACAUUUUGAACUGAUAGUAUUUGUAUAAUUUAAUUUUGACAGAGUAUAGGAGCAUACUCAAUGUCUUCCGCUUUUUGUAUGAGGUCGGCUUAUCUUGCUUAUAGUAAUUAGCUAAAUAAAUAUAUGGGCAUUUAAGAAUAUCUUUGCAAUUAGGCCAGGCGUGAGAAAAAUUUCAAAGAUGAUGUUCUCUUUUGGUGUAUUUCUAUUCUCCCUGUUCCAAAUCUUUUUUUUUGGAUGCCACUGGCACACCACAUGCUGUUCUGAAGAUAUCAUGCUAUGGGACUUCUCAGCAGAACCUAAACAAAAGGAAGCUAUGGUUUUACUUGCAGCUCAGUUUUCACAUCCUUCCCAGGUUUCACAAAAACAUAAACAUGCUUGGAUGGGUGUCCUUGCCUGCGACCUCGCUGUCUCCAACCCAUCCACAGGUUGUUUGAUAAUAGGCCUAAAAACCAAGAUAAACUGAUGUUUUCACACCUUUGCUUUGCAUCUGUGUUGACCAGAAGAAAUUGCUUACAGGUAUCGCAUAUCCUCUCUCGAAGAGAUGAGAUAAGGAUUACAGGGCUACCAACUGAGUUCUACGGCUCACCUCUGGAAGACAUCCUGAGUCAUUAUUUUGCAUGCUAGAGAACAACAACUAUCAUGUUGGUGAUUUCCCUGAUAUUUGGUUCUACAAGUGUGUCAUAUGGACCAAUGAAAGAAAAUAUAUUCCGGAGAUAAUAACUAUAUGGGCUACUCCAAAUGGUCUGACAGUGGAACCAGCACCUUUUAUAGGCCUUCAAGUACCUGUGGAAGUCUACCAUGCAAGCAUUAUCCGAUGAUGACACUGCUUUUUCGUACAUAUCAUCUUAAGACCGCGGUCAAACUAAGAAGAUGCCUAAAUAAGCUGUGAGGCAGCCUAUAUAUAAGUGUAUUUCUAUGAACUGACCUAAGUCAUUCUACUAUCUGUAAACCAAUUUAAGUCAUUCUACUAUUUGUAAAUCAGUUUAAGUCAUUCUACUAUCUGCAAUACAGUCCACACUGCAUUAUCUUUCCAUCUACAUUUCUUACUUACUCACCACUAACAUUGCUUCUAACUCGCUUUUUGCGCCAAUGGCGCAACCGGGUCAUCUAGUUACAAGAACAUUCCUCAAUUCCUCUAUGGCUUAAGCCCAUCUCAGAUGGAAAUGUUUAAAACUGACGACAACCCUUAUAAUCGGCAGUCAAAGAAAGUUACAGAGAAAUCUUGGAUUCAUAAAUGGGAGAAGCAUGGAAAGUGUUGCCAUGUUGUCGGCUCAGCUAAAGUCCUUAAUCAUGAGGAGAUGGGACAUGUCGAUUGUUAGAGUACAGUUGACAGAGGUGAUCGACGCUGACUUCGCCGCGAAGCCUUGUUGCCACGUCGCACAGAUGAUCGUCCAGGUGAUUUCGACGUCGGAGGUCGCCGAGGUGGAGGACCUUGACGCCACCGUUCGGGGGAGGGAGGAUUCGAGUCCACCGACGUCUGAACUCCGAGCCUAGGUAGAUACAUCUAGAGAAGUGGUCUGUUUAGGUUGGUGGUAGACCACUAGGGAAGGUACCCACCUUACGAUGAUGGUUGUGUGUGUCUGAUGUUAAAUGGAAUCUCGAGAUGGUUCUGUGACAUGUUAAAUGGAAUAUUGAGAUGGUUCAGUGACAUUCGUUUGUUUUGCAUUGGACAUAUUACUAGUCAUGAAUACUACAUCUAAUUAUUAUUAUUUUUAA